rnacentral:lncRNA from 1 species
CAAUGGCUUGCUUGUGUAUAUUUAGUUCUUAUCCUGUUUCAGGGAGACAUGGAGACAGCCCUAGGGUUCAGGCUUUUGCCCACCUCUCUCCUAUCUCUGUGUUUCUAGUUCCAACACAAUCUGUCAUCUUCUUUGUUCCAUCCUUAUUUUUCUUUUCCUCUCGUCUCUGGCAGGAGGUGGCCUGUCCGUUACCGCAGCUGCCACACGCCUGGGCCCCCACUGUACCCAGGCCUCUCCCCUGGCUGAGGCAGGGAGUGCACAGCGCUGCUGCCAACACGUGCUCCUGCGCCAGGCAGCGGUGUGUCCGUCUGUGCACAUUUCAGCUGGCGCUUCCCAGGACGGGGCGGACACUUCCGGUACCGUCUGUUACUGCCUGCGCAGGGCACCAGUUGGAGGUCUCACUUCCUGGUCUAACGGUUGCUGAGGUUUUCUGUGAUGAUGAUGAUGGGAAAACUGAAGCCAGAUGGAGCCCUCUCUCCUGACGGGGAGAAGAAGUAAGGAAAAAAGAAAGAGAAGAAGGAGGAAGGGAGGAGAGAGUGCCAGUGGCUGCAGCUUAUCCACGUGGCUUGCCUCGGGCGCCCAGUGUUCCUGAGACUGGGGCAGCUUCUUCGUGUGACUCGCCUCAGCACUGUGUCCUUGAGUCUGGCCUUGCUCCAGCCCCACAUGUGUGAGCGAUCUCCAGCCUCACCGCUCCCCACAUCUCCUGCUUUUCUGUUUGGUAGUUACAGGUGAUGGGUGGUCAGUUGGCAUUGGAGGAGCUGGGUUUGGAGGAUUCUGUAGAAGACCUUUGCAUUUUUGAUCCCUUUUCCUUCUAGAUGAACUUGCUUGAUUCAGGCUAAAGAUUCCCAGUCCAAAGAUUUU